rnacentral:rRNA from 1 species
UGGGGAAUAUUGCACAAUGGGCGAAAGCCUGAUGCAGCAACGCCGCGUGAGCGAAGAAGGCCUUUGGGUCGUAAAGCUCUGUCCUAGGGGAAGAUAAUGACGGUACCCUGGGAGGAAGCCCCGGCUAACUACGUGCCAGCAGCCGCGGUAAUACGUAGGGGGCAAGCGUUAUCCGGAAUUAUUGGGCGUAAAGAGUGCGUAGGUGGCCCUUUAAGCGUGGGGUGAAAGGCAAUGGCUUAACCAUUGUAAGCCUUGCGAACUGGGGGACUUGAGUGCAGGAGAGGAAAGCGGAAUUCCUAGGGUAGCGGUGAAAUGCGUAGAUAUUAGGAGGAACACCAGUGGCGAAGGCGGCUUUCUGGACUGUAACUGACACUGAGGCACGAAAGCGUGGGGAGCAAACA